rnacentral:rRNA from 1 species
UGAGGAAUAUUGGUCAAUGGGCGAGAGCCUGAACCAGCCAAAUCGCGUGAAGGAAGACUGCCUUAUGGGUUGUAAACUUCUUUUAUACAGGAAUAAAAAAGGGGACGUGUCCCUUAUUGCAUGUACUGUAUGAAUAAGCAUCGGCUAACUCCGUGCCAGCAGCCGCGGUAAUACGGAGGAUGCGAGCGUUAUCCGGAUUUAUUGGGUUUAAAGGGUGCGCAGGCGGGCUUUUAAGUCAGCGGUGAAAUCUCGGGCUUAACUCCGAAACUGCCGUUGAAACUGGGAGUCUUGAGUAUGGAUGAAGUAGGCGGAAUUCGUUGUGUAGCGGUGACAUGCUUAGAUAUAACGAGGAACUCCGAUUGCGUAGGCAGCUUACUAAGCCAUAACUGACGCUCAAGCACGAAAGCGUGGGGAUCAAACAGGAUUAGAUACCCUGGUAGUCCACGCCGUAAACGAUGAUUACUAGUUGUAUGCGAUAUACCGUAUGUGACUAAGCGAAAGCGAUAAAGUAAUCCACCUGGGGAGUACGCCGGCAACGGUGAAACUCAAAUGAAUUGACGGGGUCAUAGCUGUUUCCUG